rnacentral:lncRNA from 1 species
GCUCACUGCAACAGAAGUCCUUUUGGAAAGAACCCUAGUUCCAACCUCUGCUUUGGAAGUGUGCUGUGUGUGAUUUCAUCCCAUUAGCUGUGAUGGUCACCAUUUGGUCCUGCAGGUAUCGAUUUCAAAGAAACUCAUCAGAAGAGAUUUGUCAGCCAUCGGAUGGAAUUUCUGGUCGAGACCAGAAGGAGAUGGCAAAGUUGGAGUAUCAGGUUGUAGAAGGCCAGAGCUGGUGGCUUUGAUGCACUUUGGCUCAG